rnacentral:lncRNA from 1 species
UAUUUUACCAUGUCCUCCUGAAGUACACAAGUGAGCCCUGCUGUUCUUAGCCCCUCUGCUUUUUGUAGGUCGUUAGACCCAUGAUCUGCUGAUAGGUGUUGUGGGGACAGUGUAGGAGACUGCUGUGCCUAGGCCACUUUGAGCUGGAUGUACGGAAGUGGAGUUCUGCUUAAGGGGUCGGCAGCUGGUCCUAAAUUCCUGGUGGUCCUGAAGCCCUGACCCGGCUUGUCAGGAUUGUAUGCUGUGAAUGGCUUCCACGGCCACCCGGUCAGAUGGAUCUAUAUGUAGGAGCUGCAGUAGCACGCCGUCAGUGAAGGCUUUGAGCGAGCCCAUCUCGAAGAAAGAUCACUGACUACCACAUGACAGUAGUUAUCUCCUGACCAAAUAGGUUUUCUCAAGUUCAUUUGGUUACAUUGACCUUUGACAUUUGACUCAUGUGUUUGUGUUAUCAUGCUGCAAUGCAAAGACAUUACAACUCAAAAGCACUGUAUUAAAAUAUUGCAUUUGCCUAACCAAUAAAGUAUUUUUAUUAACUAAGUGAUUUAUUUUUUAAACUUCUGAGUGACUGGAGAAAAAUAAUAGGUCCCUUGGAAAA